AGAGAGAGACAUGCGCGCAUAUCAAUAAGCGGAGGAAAAGAAACUAACAAGGAUUCCCCUAGUAACGGCGAGUGAAGCGGGAAGAGCUCAAAUUUGAAAUCUUAAAGGGUUUCCCUUUACGAAUUGUAGUUUAAAGAAGUGUUUUCUGUUGGAGUUUUGGUAAAAGUUCUUUGGAAUAGGACAUCAUAGAGGGUGAGAAUCCCGUAUUUGACCAUUAUUUCCAGCUUUGUGAUACACUUUCAAAGAGUCGGAUUGUUUGGGAAUGCAGUCCAAAAUGGGUGGUAAAUUUCAUCUAAAGCUAAAUAUUGGCGAGAGACUGAUAGCGAACAAGUACCGUGAGGGAAAGAUGAAAAGAACUUUGAAAAGAGAGUUAAACAGUACGUGAAACUUGUCAAAAGGGAGGCGUUUGACACCAGUGUUGUUUUCUCGAAAAUCAAUCAAAAAAGGCAGGAUUUUGUGUUGUAUUGACUUUAUCAGCUUUCUGCACUCUUUUCUUGUCUUUUUUAAUGCACUUUUCGUUUAACAAGUCAACAUCAAUUUCUUUUGUUGUAAAAGGGUCAUUGGAAGGUGGCUUUCUUUUCGGAGAAAGUGUUUAUAGCCUUUGGCCUCUGCAAUCGGAGAGAUUGAGGUCUGCAGCGUAGAUCCUUCGGGGUUAGAUACAUUUGUGCUAAGUUAUAGCCUUUCAUAGACAACUUGUUGACUAUGAUCAGUCAUGUAGCUUACUCGCUUAUGCUAUUUUACCUACGCUUAGGAUGUUGAUGUGAUACUGCGAGC
rnacentral:rRNA from 1 species